GGAAGGAUCAUUAACACGUACCAAACGUAUCAACCCCUUUAUACGAACCACCUAACCUGCCCUUUGCCUACGUUUGAGCUGAUGUAAAAAAUCAGUGAAGCAGCUUGCAGUUGGGAACGACUGCAUUGCUGGCGCUCUGUUUGUGUUUACACAAACAUCCGCGUAGAACUGUGUGCCUUUUCUUUUUCAACCCAUUCUCUGGUUUGACGAAAUUAACACUUCUUGUUUGGCGCUCUUCGGAGCACGGCAGGAUUUUAUUUAUUGAACUUAAACAACUUUUAGCAACGGAUGUCUUGGUUCUCGCAACGAUGAAGAACGCAGCGAAAUGCGAUACGUAAUGUGAAUUGCAGAAUUCAGUGAAUCAUCGAAUCUUUGAACGCAAAUUGCACUUCGGGGAAUCCCCUGGAGUAUGCUUCUUUGAGUAUCGGUUCUUAUCUAUCUCUAAACACUUCGUGUGUUUAACAGGUGAGAAUGGGCGUUUCGCUUUUUAUCAAGCGCAUCGCCUCAAGUGUACGGUUACAGCUCUUUGUGCUGCUGUAUGCGUGGAAAGAUAGGCGGCCUCGUGCUGCUCUAUUGCUGUCUUCGGAUGGCUAUCUUUUUCUCGCUGCAGCAGUCGCCGGGGAAACCUGGCGAGAGUACUUGUCUUCCGACCCGCGUAGUUCCGUGAGCUUUUAAGUGAACGGCUGCGAGUCAACAUAACAACCAAUCUGAUCUCAAAUGAAGUAAGAGGACCCCCUGAAUUUAAGCAUAUCAUUAAGGGGAGGAAAAGAAACUAACAAGGAUUCCCCUAGUAACGGCGAGUGAAGCGGGAAAAGCUCAAGCUUAAAAUCGAUUGUCCUCGCGGUGAUCGAAUUGUAGUCUAGAGAAGUGUGGUCAGCGCGUGGCCCGGACCUAAGUCCUUUGGAACAGGGCGUCAGAGAGGGUGAGAACCCCGUCUUUGGUUCGGAGACCGCCGCGUACGAUGCGCUUUCGAAGAGUCGGGUUGCUUGGGACUGCAGCCCUAAUUGGAUGGUAAAUUUCAUCUAAAGCUAAAUAUUGGCGAGAGACCGAUAGCGAACAAGUACCGUGAGGGAAAGAUGAAAAGAACUUUGAAAAGAGAGUUAAAAAGUGCCUGAAAUUGCUAAAAGGGAAGCGAUGAGAAUCAGUCGUGUGGGCGUAGUCAAAUUCCUCCUGGCAACGGCGCUAGACGGGUAGGCACCGCAAGGGUCUGCACGGAUAGCAAGAGUUGCCAGCAGUUUCUGAUUGCGUCCGAGUUCCAGGAUCAAUUCGGUGUGUCGCAGAACCGCUUCGGGAAGGUAGGUUAGAUGGCUCACGCUUGACAACUGUUACAGCCCGUGGUAGCGUGCGUGCAUACUGGAUUGAGGCUUCUAUUGAAGGCAAGGCGCGCCCUUUGGCGAGAUGGCGGCACCCCGGGUCGUGAGGAGGCUGGAAUGCAAUGCAUUGCUGAACCCGUAACGAUUUGCUGGUGUUGCCCACUUUCUGCGCUUUCGCGAUCCUGGAGAAAUGGUUCUCACCGACCCGUCUUGAAACACGGACCAAGGAGUCUAACAUAUAUGCGAGUAUUUGGGUGUAAAACCCUGAUGCGCAAUGAAAGUGAAGGCAGGCGAUUUCGUUUGCUGAAGUGUGAUCCGCAAGGAGCAACAUUGACCGAUCAGUCAUUUAUGAAAGAUUUGAGUAAAAGCAUAUCUGUCGGGACCCGAAAGAUGGUGAACUAUGCCUGGACAGGGCGAAGCCAGGGGAAACUCUGGUGGAGGCUCGUAGCGAUACUGACGUGCAAAUCGUUCGUCUGAUCUGGGUAUAGGGGCGAAAGACUAAUCGAACCAUCUAGUAGCUGGUUCCCUC
rnacentral:misc_RNA from 1 species